GUGUGGGCGUACGAAACACUGCAAACAUGUAAUACGGAAGUCAAGGAACUGUUAAGAAUAAAACUUUCAACAACGGAUCCGUUAGUUCUCGCAUCGAUGAAGAGCGCAGCGAAAUGCGAUACCUAGUGUGAAUUGCAGCCAUCGUGAAUCAUCGAGUUCUUGAACGCACAUUGCGCCCCUUGGUAUUCCGGGGGGCAUGCCUGUUUGAGCGUCGUUUCCAUCUCACGCUGCUGCCGUGCGGACCCAGCCAGCGAUGGCCGUGGGUGCGCGUGGGGGCGGGGUGGAGCUGGCAGCGCCUAGGCCUUGCCGAAAAGAAACGAGGAGAAGCGAACUAUAUUGGUGCGCGGACCCGGCUUUACAUCGAGCUCGACCUCAAAUCAGGUAGGAAUACCCGCUGAACUUAAGCAUAUCAAA
rnacentral:rRNA from 1 species